GACGAACGCUGGCGGCGUGCUUAACACAUGCAAGUCGAACGGAAAGGCCCUGCUUUUGUGGGGUGCUCGAGUGGCGAACGGGUGUGAAACACGUGAGUAUCCUGCCCUUGACUUUGGGAUAUCUUCAGGAAACUGGGGCUAAUACCGGAUAGGAGCUCCUGCUGCAUGGGGGGGGUUGGAAAGAUUCGGCGGUUGGGGAUGGACUGGCGGCUUAUCAGCUUGUUGGUGGGGUAGUGGCUUACCAAGGUUUCGACGGAUAGCCGGCCUGGGAGGGGGGCCAGCCACAAGGGGCCUAAGGGACGGCCCAGUCUGCAACGUGAGGCAGUGGGGGGAAGUAUGACACAGUGAGGGGGAGCCUGAGACGACGGCGCCGGGAGCGUAAAGACGUCCUACUGGUGAUGAACCGCUGUCGCCUGAGACGAAGCGUGAUUGACGGUAAUGGGUAAAGAAGCACCGGCUAACUACGUG
rnacentral:rRNA from 1 species